ACCAUUAUAAAAUAUGCAAAAGAAUUUACUGUAGCUGGUAAAUAGUACUUUGUGGUGCUAUUACAGCAUUGCCCCUAAAAUUAAAGAAUUGCCAAUUUUGCCCCUUUACUUUCCCCUUACUCUCUCACCGACUUCCUCACCUUCUUCCUCACAGACUUCCUUCUCUUUCCUCCUCAUCUCAAAAAAAAAAGCUCAGAAUUCUUAAUGGAAAACAAGGAGAGAGAAACCUAGAGAGAGAAAAUAUGUCCUCCUUCAACAAUGAUGGCGAUGAGCUCAAAAUCACCGAUCAUCCUUGAAAAACCAUGGCGAUGGGAUUCGCUUCUUCUCAGUGUUUCAAUUUCAUCAGUUUUGGCAACGCGGUUGCUAAGCAAAGAUGUUCGGAGGAAUGUUUUAGAAGAAACCAAGCAAGGAAGAAGCUCUGCCGCUGCUUCGAUCCCACGGAUUGAUGUUCGGAGCAUGGGUUGUUGCUAUUCGGGUCACUCCUUAUGUUCUUCAGUAUUUUUCCAGAAAGAGGAGAUUACUUUGGAUCUUUGAUUCAACCCCACCAAAAUUAAGAUGGACCCAGGUUUGGUGGAUUCGAGUUUGAGGUGAAGAUACACGGGUUAGCAGUGCGAGGCAUGAGAUUCUUUUCGAAACAAUCCAAACCCUCACCGAUUUUACUUUCAUAUUGACUAGAGCUUAUGUUUCAGGCGAAGAUGGAUGUUUCAUGGAUGUCUUUCAUGUCAUGGAUGUGUAUGUGCAGAAAAUUCAAGGUAUUAAUAAAAAUGGGGGUUAUAGGUGACAUUCCGGUAGCAGCUAUUGAGGAUGUAGAGCGCUGCUAAGUACUUAUGUGAUGUCUUUGCAAAGAUAUGAAUUUCAGUGGCCUGUUUGAUCUGGUUUGACAAUAUGAUCAUGUUUUGAUAAAUUUGUGUGGUUGGAGUCCCUAUUACAAUUUAUACUACAAAUUAAGAUACAUCCUAAAUACAUAGUAUUUAGAUUUCCGUUCAGCACCUAUUUUACACUUGCAAUUUGGAUCUUGUUCAUUUGUAUAGUUAAUAUGUUGCAUAACAUAUUUAAAAUUGAGCAAGCUUUGUGUGUGCUCGCUUGCAAUGUUGUUUUUCAAUUUAUAUUUGAAAAGAAUAAGCAUAUAUAAUUACUUUAUCUCCUUUGCACAAUCAUACAAUUUCCCUAUUCUGUUUGAAGGUCAUGGAGUCUUGAAAGCAGUCUCUCUGUUAGUUGCGUAACCUUUAUUUUCCCGACCCUGAUUUCAUAAUAGUGUAGCAUGUUAUUGAUGCCGCACGUUUAUGUAUGUUAUAGACUUCAUAGUUUUAUUUGUAGUCUUUUACUUAUGUACUAAGUCCUAGCUCUGAAGUUAUGAAAACGAAAAGAGUAUAUGUUGAAUAUUAAUGCGAAUUUGGCGUACUAUACAAUAAGCGUCUUCUUUUCUUUCUUUUGCAAUUUUAUCAUCAGUUUCAGGGCUUCAAGUUGCGGAAACAAAACUAAAUAAGGGUUAGUUGCUGUACUGACCUUCUAUUCUUUGUAAACGCUGAAAUUCUUAGUUAUGCAGCUCAUGUUGGAGCAUCCAAAUAUAUUGUUAGUAACAUUAUUGUCUGAUUUGUAACAGAAUUGUUGAUCUACAGGUACAAUUCUAUCUCCCCUUUCUCUUUCUUGUUCUAAUUGGUUCAAUUUUCACCUAACCUUUAAUAUGAACAGCUUACUUGUUAUUUUUUUCCAUAUCUUUUCAUUUUCUCCCAAUAUUUUCUCUUUUUAAUAUGCUUAUAUGCAUAUGGUGUUUGCUGCCAAAAUUUAUGCUGUCAAGUUAGAUAUUGCUGUUGUGAGUGACUAUAGAGGGUAGCUGUUGUUUCACGCUGUUGCCGCUGUUAUUCUGGUGCUGCCCUGUUACUGCUAUUCUGUUCGUCCAAAAAUCAUCGACCUGAAGUUGUUUUUAGCUCAUAGUCCCUUCAUCAAUGUUUUAGAUCUCGAAAAGUUAUUCAAUCUAGGCUCAAGAAUUUCUCGAUUUGGAGUUGUGUGCUAGGAAUUAUGCCUUCUGGAAUUUACUACGGUCUGCUACCCUGGUUCUAUCGCAGCGGGCUGUUAUUGCUCAUUUGAUGCCUAUGUGGUGUUGUUGUGUUGAGUUGGUUGGGGUGCUAAAAUGAAUGCUUGGGCUUCUCUUAUUUAUUUUGUCUUCCCUUCUUCCUUUAUUUACACAUUAGUUAUAAAGUUAAAAUGUGGGCAAUUUUGAUUAAUGACUAUUUGGAUAAUGACUAAUUGAUAAUUUGCCAAAGUGAUGAGGGAUUAAUGUGUAUGUUAAAUUUUCAGAUGUGUGAGUGACUAAAGUUAAUUAGUUUAAAUUAAAUGUAUUGAAGGGUUUAAAUGUUUAUAAAAUAGAUUUGAUGAACGAACACUAAUCUCCCCAAGUUUAUUCAUCACUCUUAAUUAACUUCUUAUUUCGUAUUACAUGAGCCUUUUGUUGUUUUUAUUAAAUGAGGUGAGAAAAUAUAUAUGUAAAGGUUUGUACAUGUGGUAUGUCUAGAUAAGGGUUGUGUUCUACUUAUAUGAAUGUAAUAACUUAUCAAGUGAGGUUGGGAAGUAUUAAGGAGUCAACAAAGAAGUCAUGUUUGAUAUGAUAGUCUCCUUAUAAUUUAUUAUUAUAUACGUGAGAGUAAUUUACACCAUACAACUGAUAACUUGAGAAUCCUUUAUCUUUUCUACUGUAAUAUUUGCAGCAAUUGCAGGUUGGUGCAAAAUAAUGCAGUGCUUGAAGUUAGUCUUGUGCUUCUAUAACAAAAAAGAAAAUUCAACUGCGUGGCCCUCCUUGAUUCCAUAUCAACUUAACUACCGAGAAAGCAGCCUGGACAUCCUUGUUAGAGUAAAGAGGUUAGUCUUUCAAAUAUAUUCACUCUUAUCUCCUAUUUUUGUAUGGCAACUAUGUGUGUCGUUUCCUGCUUAAAUUUAAUGAUGGUGAGCAGGAUCGUGAUCCUUCGUAUCUGAAGUAAUAAUUAGUUUUUAUUCAAAAGAUGUGCAAAGUUAGAUCAUUGUUAGACCUUGCAUUUCUAUGAAUCUCCAUGAGUUUGUGAGGCGAUGGAUUCUAAAAGUAUAUCAAGCUAUUAUGUUUGAGAUUAUUACAAUAUACUACUCUUCUAGACCUCUUGUUCUUGAGCACUUCAGUUAUUUUACAUCUCUGCUUGCUUACUUUAUUUUCUUGAUUGUAUUUAUUAAAAAAGCCUGCCAAUGGCCCAAUACUCAUUAAAGCUUAGAGAGUAGUCGUUACUUUAGGAAAAUACAACUCAUCACGAUCACCAAACAACGAAGUCAUGACAUGAAAUUGAAUAUUGUUUGUCAUUUGUCAUUUAUGACUUUAUCGAUCCUAUAACACAUAAUGUGUGCUACAAAACUGACAGAAGUUUCUGAAGUGCACAUAAGGAAAUAGAUGACUUAAUGUUCCGAAGAUUCCUCUUACUUGUAAUCUUGUGAAGAAGACAGGUUCCAUGUUCUUAAAGUAUUUGAAAAGGAGGCCGACUUUUCUGCCUAAAGUUUGUCAUAAGAUAAGAGAAACAUUAUGACCUUUCCCAUAACAAAGUUAAUCUAGGGGACACCCUACUAUGAUUGCAUGAUUGCGUUCUCAGGUGGGCAUUACCUAAAUUCCAAAUCUGGUCGGAGGUAUUGAUGAGUUUAAGCGUCUUCUUGUAUAAAAUCUUGAUGAUCUGUGAGCAAUAAUGUACCCCUCGAAUCUGUCAGCUAGCCCUGAUACAACAACUGAGUUGUAGUAACUCUAAAGUUACUGUAGUUCUCACUCGCUCACUCUGCUUUGUUGAGUUCCAGGGGGAAAAGAAGAGAAGAUCGAGAGGAAGACAAUCUCAGAGAAUUUCUCAAUCACUCUGCUCAAAUGCUUUUGGAGCUCCGAACCUCAUAAUAAGUAUCUCUCUUACUAAAUUGUUGCUUCUUCGUGUUUCUUCUGCACAUCCUGUAUGCCUUGUUCUUGAGUAGGCUUGGGAUGAAGGCAUCAUUGGCAUUCCAGAAUUAUGGUGCUGAAUGAAUAGUGGGUUCUAUGAAUUGUUUUUGGGUUUAUUUCUUAAUAUAUACUGCUUUGGUAAAACCUCUCAUCUUCUUAUGAUGCUUUGCCUUAUACAGUACAUUUAUAUUUAGAUUAGAGAAAUUGGCAACACAUUAUUCUUUUCGUCAAACAUGAUAGACAAUGAACUUGGUUAUUGCUUAUAUAUAUUAAGCAUUUUUGGUUAAUGGCUGCUCGUAAAGGCUCUCAUGGGAAGACCCACAAUUUUCUAUGGAAUGCUUAUUGUGAGAUUUCUUAUAUUUGAUUUCUGAUCGGACGUGUAUGCAGCUUAGUGUUUUUUUUUCUUUUUUUUCGCAUUAUAUAUUUAUAUUGUGCCUUGUGGAUAUAAGUCUAGACCAUGCUUUUCCCCAUAGAUCUAUCGCAGAUUAAGUGUAUAAGCUGUUAAAGGCAGCUAGAAUAAUAGAAUUAAGUAUCUUGAAUUUAAAGUAUCAGCUUUUGCAUAUGCCUUCAUCAUCAUUUAGAUAUCUUAAAUAUUUGUCCGCAAGUUAAUACAUUUGUUCUUUUUUGUUUGCUUAUCUAUGUAACUGAUAUAUCUGCAGUUUAAUUAUUUGGUGGUUACAAAUAUCUCUUAAUAUGGGUGACAUUCAGAAUGCUCCUCUUUCAGAAGAGGAAACUACUUGUAGGUUUCUUUUGUAUGAACUUUAGAUAAUUUUGGGAUGAAGUGAGCAAGCCUGAAAUAUUAGGGCCAAGAUGUUACUUGUAGCAGUGGAGCACGUGCUUAAAGGCGCCAAGAAGACAAGGAUACAACCAGAUGAAGCAUGUGUGAGAUGGUGAUAGUAUUAUAGGUUGAGGUUAUGGGAUUUAAUUUCAUUUGUAGUACAAGUAGUAUUUAAUUUAUAUUUUUAAAUGGUAGAAAUGGGUAGAAUUAGAUACGUAAAUGAUGAAGUAAUGCAAGAGCAUAUAAGUGAAUAUAUGAGCAUAAUGUGUACUUGUUUUCAACUUCAAUAUGUGUAUUGUGAUUUUAGUAGAGAAAUUAUAUCUUUGUUCUUGA